rnacentral:rRNA from 1 species
UACGGGGGGUGCGAGCGUUGUCCGGAAUCACUGGGCGUAAAGGGCGCGUAGGUGGCCUGUGGAAGUCUGCGGUGAAAGCCCGGCGCUCAACGCCGGGUCGGCCGUGGAUACUCUCGGGCUUGAGCUCACUAGAGGCAGAUGGAAUUCCGGGUGUAGCGGUGGAAUGCGUAGAGAUCCGGAAGAACACCGGUGGCGAAGGCGGUCUGCUGGGGUGAUGCUGACACUGAUGCGCGAAAGCGUGGGGAGCAAACAGG